AGUCACUGACAUUAGAUACCCGCGUAGUCCAGGGUGUAAAUGCUGCAGACUUGGUGUUGGGAACCCUUCGGGGGUGCUCAGUGCCGGAGAGAAGUUGUUAAGUCUGCUACUUGGGGAGUACGUCCGCAAGGAUGAAACUUAAAGGAAUUGGCGGGGGAGCACCGCAACGGGAGGAGCGUGCGGUUUAAUUGGAUUCAACGCCGAAAACUCACCAGCAGCGACUGUUACAUGAAAGUCAGGUUGAUGACCUUACUAGAUUUUCAG
rnacentral:rRNA from 1 species